AUUGAACGCUGGCGGCAGGCCUAACACAUGCAAGUCGAGCGGAGCGGCGGACGGGUGAGUAAUGCCUAGGAAUCUGCCUGGUAGUGGGGGAUAACGUCCGGGAACGGGCGCUAAUACCGCAUACUAGCAGAUGAGCCUAGGUCGGAUUAGCUAGUUGGGGGAGUAAAGGCCUACCAAGGCGACGAUCCGUAACUGGGCUGAGAGGAUGAUCAGUCACACUGGGACUGAGACACGGUCCCGACUCCGACGGGAGGCAGGAGUGGGGAAAAUUGGCCAAUGGGAGAAAGCCUGGUCCAGCCAUGCCGGGUGUGUUAAGAAGGGCUUCGGAUUGGAAAGCACUUUAAGUUGGGUGGCGUUACCAACAGAAUAAGCCCCGGCUAACUUCGUGCCAGCAGCCGCGGUAAUAC
rnacentral:rRNA from 1 species